GGGCGAUUUUAGUGUGCGCGUGGUAGCGGCGGCUGCACAUGCAUGCACGCACUUGCAUGGAAUGCCUGCUGCUGCUGCCUGCCUCUGUUGUGGAGCGGGGGAGGGGCGACGGGCGGUGGCAGCAGCAAGCGCAGCAAGAGACUUACAAAAUCCUGCCUCGCUCUCUUUGUCCAACGCGUCAACGGUCAACCGCCGUUCAAAGUUAAAGUUAUUAACGGACGCAGGACGCCGGACGCCGCCAGUAAGGGACAACACGGACGUCCCGCAGACUUGGACGGAUGGCCUGGAUCUGGCGGUUAACAGGCUUCAAGCCGUCCGCAGCUGUUGCACGACGGGAAAAGAUACAAUCGUUUAAGUUCUGCAGUUUGGGCUUCAAGAUUGGCGGUGCUGGCAUCGAAUGAGAGAAAAUUUUGUACCUGAUAUGAUUAAAAACAAAUAAAUUUUAAAAAUUUAA